GCUGGGCACGGUGGCACAUGACUGUAAUCCCAGUUACUUGGGAGCCUGAGACAGGAGAAUCACUUGAACCCAAGAGGCAGAGGUUGCGGGAGCCGAGAUCAUACCACUGCGCUCCAGCCUGGGUGACAGAGCGAGACUCCAUUUCAAACAAACAAACCAAAAAAAAACAUUGGUGACCUCUGGGGAGCGGGGACCAUCAGGUUGCCCAAGGAGGGAUGAACCUGGGAGGUGAACUGGCCCAGAUCAGAAAUAGAGCAGGUCAAAAACUCCUGUGCUGAUCAGUAGUGGGAUCUGCUUGUGAAUAGCCACUGCACUGUAGCCUGGGCAACAUAGUGAGACAUUGUCUAU
rnacentral:sRNA from 1 species